rnacentral:misc_RNA from 1 species
UCUCCGUUGGUGAACCAGCGGAGGGAUCAUUACCGAGUUUACAACUCCCAAACCCAAUGUGAACCAUACCAAACUGUUGCCUCGGCGGGGUCACGCCCCGGGUGCGUCGCAGCCCCGGAACCAGGCGCCCGCCGGAGGGACCAACCAAACUCUUUCUGUAGUCCCCUCGCGGACGUUAUUUUUACAGCUCUGAGCAAAAAUUCAAAAUGAAUCAAAACUUUCAACAACGGAUCUCUUGGUUCUGGCAUCGAUGAAGACCGCAGC